rnacentral:rRNA from 1 species
CCUACGGGUGGCAGCAGUGAGGAAUAUUGGUCAAUGGGCGAGAGCCUGAACCAGCCAAGUCGCGUGAGGGAAGACGGUCCUACGGAUUGUAAACCUCUUUUGUCAGGGAGCAAGGAGCGCCACGAGUGGUGCGGCGAGAGUACCUGAAGAAAAAGCAUCGGCUAACUCCGUGCCAGCAGCCGCGGUAAUACGGAGGAUGCGAGCGUUAUCCGGAUUUAUUGGGUUUAAAGGGAGCGUAGGUGGAUUGUUAAGUCAGUUGUGAAAGUUUGCGGCUCAACCGUAAAAUUGCAGUUGAAACUGGCAGUCUUGAGUCCGCGGAAAGCAGGCGGAAUUCGUCGUGUAGCGGUGAAAUGCUUAGAUAUGACGAAGAACCCCGAUUGCGAAGGCAGCUUGCUGCAGCGGAACUGACGCUGAUGCUCGAAAGCGCGGGUAUCGAACAGGAUUAGAUACCCUUGUAGUC